AAACUAAAAUUAGUAUAGAUCAGAUUUUAAAUUUAAAAGAAUUUGAAUUUGACAUUAAAAUAUAUAGGUAUCAUAGUGCAUUAUUGUUGAGCAAUUGUACUGACAGAAAUAAAUAAAUACAUGAUGAUCUAUUUCUAGGGAAGGUUAAUUACUAGCAAUAUUUCGAGCUAAUACACAAAAUCGAUUCUGAAAUUGUUUUGAUUAUAAUCGUUUCGUUAGAAACGAAAUAUCAUACGAGUCAAUUUCCUCUCCCUAUUUAUUUUUUAUUUUUUCACAUAAAAUCUCUGUGUUGUCAUUUUUAUUGCAUUAAAUUAAUCUCAUCUGCCAACCGACAUUUCAAAAACUAAUGACGUAUGAUAAAUUAUAUAGUAUUUGAAAUUUUAAUUCCGCAAAAAAUAAAGGAAAAAAAUGAACGAUAGUAAAUUGUCUUUUAGAUCUGAAACGACAAUCGAUGAACCUGCGAGUGUUAAUCUCGACAAAGUUCGAUAAUUCGAUACCGUAUAGCAGUGCUGUUAAAUAAAAUACACUAUAUCGUGAGAGCGGUAACCAAAACUGUCAAACGUUCGAUGACAGAAUAAUAGGAUUGUUGCUACUUGGAAUGGUUUACGCGAGUGUCGAAUAAACGUUAUGCGGAUAAUCUUCAGUCGAUUGCCGCGUGAUGGCUGCGUGUUCCAAAGAAAUGAUGCUAUUUCAAUGCAGGUUCCAGUGAUACCGGUUGGAUAAAGAUAUCGCACAAUUUCGAACUUUGUAUCCCGCUGCAAACUUUAUAUUCAAAUAUAAUUGUACAGUAGAACUUCGUUUAUCCGAACACAUCAGAGGACAAAAUGGUUUUGAACAACCAAGAGGUUCGGAUAAUAGAAGCCCAUUAACUUUCUCUAUAUCUUACUUUUAUUUGUUUAGGUUUUAGGUAAUAAGAGAAGUAGUAGUUUAUCAAUUAUAAAUUCGUAUAUCUGAGGGUCUGAGGCACAACACUAGUUUGUAUAAACGAGGCACAGAUAAACGAAAUUCUACUCGAUGAAAAUUCACCAAAUAUAUACAGAAUUACUGAAAUCAGUGAAAUAACACAUUUACUUAUCGAAAAGUUGGACAAAACAGUGAGU